UUUGGAAGUGACAGAUUUAUUUCAAGACGUCCAGGAUGGGAAGAUCCUCAUGAUACUACUGGAGGAGCUCUCAGGCUGUAAGUUGCUUCAUGAAUUCAAACCAUCGUCGCAUCGCAUUUUUCGGCUCAACAAUAUUGCAAAGGUCUUGAAGUUUUUGGAGGAAAGACAUGUAAAGUUGGUCAGCAUUGAUGCAGCUGAUGUUGCAGAUGGCAAUUCCUCCAUUGUUCUUGGAUUGAUAUGGAACAUUAUUCUCUUC